ensembl:snoRNA
AGCCAGUGAUGACAAACCCAACUUUUCUGACACCUCUUAUGAGAGCCACGCCGUGGCUCCUUGAUUCUACUGCUGAUCUGAGGCCC